rnacentral:misc_RNA from 1 species
GAUGAAGAACGUAGCGAAAUGCGAUAAUUAAUGUGAAUUGCAGAAUUCAGUGAAUCAUCGAGUCUUUGAACGCACAUUGCGCCCCCUGGUAUUCCGGGGGGCAUGCCUGUCCGAGCGUCAUUGCUGCCCUCAAGCACGGCUUGUGUGUUGGGCUUCCGUCCCUGGCAACGGGGACGGGCCCAAAAGGCAGUGGCGGCACCAUGUCUGGUCCUCGAGCGUAUGGGGCUUUGUCACCCGCUCCCGUAGGUCCAGCUGGCAGCUAGCCUCGCAACCAAUCUUUUUAAUCAGGUUGUCCUCGGAUCAGGUAGGGAUACCCGCUGAACUUAAGCAUAUCAAUAAGCGGAGGA